CACAUGUCUGUCAUCCUCCCUGUGUUGAUUGCUGCAUCAGUCUGUGUUUUGGUUCUUCUGCUGAUACUGGUUCUGCUGAUGAGACGGUUUGUUCAUCGGAAACCUGAAGCUGAUCAAAAAGGAAAUGGAGAAGACACCACAGAUGACAUCAUGUACAGCGACAUCAAAAUAUCAACUCGCCAACUACAGCCAGUCAGAAAAAGAGAUGGUGACCCAGCCGCAGUCUACUCAGCAGUGAGAACUGAAGAUAUCAUUUAUGGAGAAGUCAUCAUAAGUGACAAGAAAAAUAAAUCAAAGAUGAGAGGUACAACUGGUUUUCU